rnacentral:rRNA from 1 species
ACGAACGCUGGCGGCGUGCUUCACACCUGCCAGUCGCACGGAAAGGCCCUGCUUUUGUGGGGUGCUCGAGUGGCGAACGGGUGAGUAACACGUGAGUAACCUGCCCUUGACUUUGGGAUAACUUCAGGAAACUGGGGCUAAUACCGGAUAUGAGCUCCUGCUGCAUGGUGGGGGUUGGAAAUUUUCGGCGGUUGGGGAUGGACUCGCUGCUUAUCAGCUUGUUGGUGGAGUAGUGGCUUACCAAGGCUUUGACGGGUAGCCGGCCUGAGAGGGUGACCGGCGUCAGUGGGAGUGUGAUACGGCCCAGACUCCUAAGGAAGGCAGCAGUGGGGAAGAUUGCGCAAUGAGCGGAAGCCUGAUGCAGCAACGCCGCGUGCGGGAUGACGGCCUUCGUGUAUUAAACGGCUUUCGCCUGUGACGAAGCGUGAGUGACGAUAAUGGGUAAAGAAGCACCGGCUAACUACGAG